rnacentral:rRNA from 1 species
AAGUUUCAGACUUGCGUCCGUACUCCCCAGGCGGCGAGCUUAACGGCUUCCCUGCGGCACCACGAUGCCCCGAAGGCGUCGUGUCACCUAGCUCGCAUCGUUUACAGCUGGGACUACCCGGGUAUCUAAUCCGGUUCGCUCCCCCAGCUUUCAUCCCUCACCGUCGAGCGCGUUCUGGCGGACCGCCUUCGCCACUGGUGGUCUUCCGGGGAUCAAAGGAUUUUACCCCUACCCUCGGAGUACCGUCCGCCUCUCCCGCCUCCUAACCCGGCGGUAUCUCCUGC